GUCAUUAUGGCCGAACGGUAAGGUACCUCAGCUCAUUAAAUCAACAAAAUUGUGGUUGAGGAGGUCUCGGUUCGAAUCCGAGUUGUGAUA